rnacentral:tRNA from 1 species
GGAGGAGUGCGCCGAGUGGCAAGGCAGCAGGUUGCUAACCUGCGACGGGUAAAACCCCGUCCGUGGGUUCGAUUCCCACCUCCUCCG